UAACUUUUAUUUAUAAAGGACGCCAAAAAUACAGAUUUAUUAUUUGGGGGGUCAAGAAUAUAGAAUCUUUAAUAUUUUCUCAAUAUUUACAGAGGGUAGGCUACUUCGUAGUCGAAGAUCAAAACACUCAUUGGGUGUAGAGACAAUUGCCUAAUCCUUUAAGACAUAACCCAAUUUUUGUACUUGUUUGUUUUAUCCUUCUCCUUGAAUAAAAUGCUAUCGCCUUUUGACUAAAAAUAUAUAUAAAUUUGACAUAAAAUGGUGGAGUUUGAUAACUGUUAGAGUUACUUCAUGCUCAUGAUGUGGUUGUAAACUCCCUUUACACACAUUAUUUGGUGAAUAAAUUUGAUAAGAUUUGAAUUAUUAUAUGUCGUGAUAUCUGCAUGUCACAAUGCCGCGUGUUGUUUACGUGGCUCAAUUUUCACGGUUGAGAUGGAGGAGUGUAGGAUAGCAUGGUUUGAUUCUUCUAAGACGACCCUUUUCGAUUUGUACAGAAAGAAAAACAAUGCAAGUGUAGAUUGGAUUGGGGAGAGAAGUGUAAUUUAAGUGCAUGCAAAUGCAAAUGCAAAUGCAAACUUUGUUUAUAUAUUUGGGGAUUUCACAUUCCUUUUGUCUGGUGCACCACGUGUGAUGUAACAUGCCGUUUCAAAAGGAUGAACAAAGCAUGCAUAUAAAUGUUAACAAAUAUUGCAACUUGGUCUGCUAAGCUUUGCUUUGGACCCAAAUUGCUGACUGCUUCUUGUGGGACAAAUUCGAUCUCAAAUAUUUUCUGACUAAUUUAAUAUUGUCAAGCUGGCCCCAAAUCUUAUCCUUUUUCUUUUUCUUUUAUUUUUUUUCUGUUUUUUCCCCAUUUAUUUAUUUAUUUAUUUUCUAAUUAUUUUAAAUUUAGAAUUGCCAUCAUCAUCUAUAUAACUUUUACGAAUGUAUUGCUUUUUGAGGUCAAUAUAUUAUUGAGAGAGAUACUUGCUUCUUAAAGAGGUGGCGUUUUGUGAGCAACCCGUUGAAGAGAUGGCCGUGGCGGUGGGCGGUGGAGACUUCUAAGCUCCUCAAAUAGUUCAAUGGAAGCAAUGGUCAACCAAAUAGGCGAUAAUGUUGACCUUUGGGUUCUCCCCCAUUUCAACACAUGAAUUUUUUGGGUUCUCCCCCAUUUCUUGACCCGUAUAAGGAAAUUUCACACUUAGCCGCAAUUUUAAGUAUUUUACAACUUGAUACAUAUACUUGUUUGAUUAAACAAAAGCGUAGUGUAUGAAAUCAUAGCAUUAUAGGUCUCAUCCGCAUAACAAGGUAGACUAAUUUGUAAGCACAUACAUACACCCUUCAACGU
rnacentral:lncRNA from 1 species